AGAUUGAACGCUGGCGGCAUGCCUUACACAUGCAAGUCGAACGGCAGCACGGGAGCAAUCCUGGUGGCGAGUGGCGAACGGGUGAGUAAUAUAUCGGAACGUGCCCAGUCGUGGGGGAUAACGCAGCGAAAGCUGUGCUAAUACCGCAUACGAUCUAUGGAUGAAAGCGGGGGAUCGCAAGACCUCGCGCGAUUGGAGCGGCCGAUAUCAGAUUAGCUAGUUGGUGGGGUAAAAGCCUACCAAGGCGACGAUCUGUAGCUGGUUUGAGAGGACGACCAGCCACACUGGGACUGAGACACGGCCCAGACUCCUACGGGAGGCAGCAGUGGGGAAUUUGGACAAUGGGGAAACCCUGAUCCAGCCACCCGCGUGUGCGAUGAAGG
rnacentral:rRNA from 1 species